CUAAAGUCAACCAGGACUACUCGGACUAAUCGGAUAUUUUGUAUACAUCUGACACUCGAAUGACUAUUCGUUACAUGAGCUUAUAUUCUUACCAGUGAAAUAAUCCAAACUUCUUCAUUCCGAUUGAUAGUUCCUAUUCCGUGGCUGUAUGCGUAAAUAUCACUACACUCUAAAAAGCUAACCGGAAGGUGGAACAUCUGACAGUAUUAUUCAUCUGACACAAUGACAAUGAUGAUGCAGUAUACAAUGUGGUUACCAUUGAAAUAACCCAAACUUCCUCAAAUGAUGACGUGUACACAACAAAUAUUUCCAAAAUUUCAAAUCGAUAACGAUAUGGCACGGAAAAUAUGACAGGAUCAACGCAAUGGAUUGAUACUUCUUUUAAGCGAAGCGGAAAGAGAGUGUGCACAUUAUAAUGGGUUCUUAUGACAGGAUGAUCUGAGUCCAGCUUUGACGAACGCUUCGACUAGAUUUUCAUCCAUCGAGAAUCGUUGCCUUAUUUGUUCUCUACUUUUGGCAAUAAACAUUAAGACACUA